rnacentral:lncRNA from 1 species
UUCUAACAAGUUACUAAGGAGAGUUUUGAGGGACCAAAUGAAGCAUGAGCUAUCAGUUCGGAGUAAAAUUUAGUUGAAGCAUCUUCAAAAUCUCUUAUACAUCAGUCUAUCAACCAAAAAACUGUUUUGUAAUAAUGAAAAAGAGAUGCUAGGUAGCCAUUUUAAUCCCAUUGUUCUCAAAUGGUGGAUAGAUGGGAUCAAUUGAGGCAUGCAUUCUUGUAAUUCCUGCAAUGUCAUUGCUUGUUGUCAAAUAGAUGUAGCUGAGAUGCUUGUGGUUUUGCUUAAAGGACUGGUGUAAAAUGGAAAAAUGUUUCUUGCUACCUGAUGAUUUAUCAGAUAGUUGGAAUAAAUAUUUUGCUGCAAGCCUGUUUUCCUUUCCUCGUUCUGUUAAAUUAUAGUAUGAUUUUUCUGGAUUUGGAUUAGAGAGUUUGAAGCUUCAAGUACUUUGCUGCAGAGGUAUUCUGCAGGUUGCCUAAAGGAAUGCUGAUUUAACUCUUUAAUGAAUAAUAUCUUGCACGAUAAAGGAUAUAAACCAUUCAAAAUCAUAUAAUUUCUUUUCAAAUAAGACAAGCAGCAGUAAAGUAAAACUUCUGCGUACAAGAUAAUCCACAGGUGAAGUGCUGGUCUCUGACAUGUUGUGACCGGCCUCAACCCUUGUAAAUCUUGCUCCUUAUUAGACCACAUUGCUCAUGUCGUAUCAAAACAAGUUACACACCUGAAAGAAAGGAAAAAAGAGAGAGCAUUAUAUCUUUGCCAAAUCGAUUGUUUUCUUCCCAUCAUGUGCUUUUCGGAAGAAAUGCUUGACGUAAUCCGAGUACAGAACUUCCUUAUACACGGCCUUCUCGCCACUGGCCAGCACUUCAGGGAAAGGAGAGAUUUUGUCUGAUGGCAUGGGGUUGAUGAAAAUGGGAACUGAAAUCCUGUUAUUACUUCCGUUAGCAAUAACACGGUGCUCGAUGCUCUUGUAUCGACCAUUGCUCAUUAUUUGUAAGGCAUCUCCAACAUUGAUCACAAUGGACCGCUAACAGGAGGAACAUGAAUCCAGCUAUCAUUGUUCCCUCGCACGUAAAGUCCACCGAUGUCAUCUUGGAGGAGGAAAGUGAGUGUUGAGACAUCCGAGUGGCGGCCAACUCCUACAGUGAGCUCAGCAGGGUUUGGACAAAUCGGAUAGUAGUUAAGGUUAGUCCUUUUAGACCCCAUUAAGAGGGAUUCUUUUGUCUCAUCGAUCUCAGUCACAUUCAGAUUCUUCAUUAGCACAUCCAGUAGCUUUCUGAUAACAGUUUCUGAUCUCUUCAUGUACUCCAGCACUUGAUCCCUGAAAGAGAAAAAAUCGCGAGGCCGACAAAUUAAUUGAUAGCCGUUAUAAUCAAGUAAUAAUGUUAUAUGCAUGUGCAAUGUGCAAAGUGAAGUAUUUAUUACUUGCAAACCGCAGGCCACAAUGCAGAAGCCUCAUCCUCGGAGACAUAAAAGAGACUAAGGUAAUCUUUCCACUCUAAAGCCUUCUCAGCUUCAGGACUAAAGCUUGUGCCAAACCGCACGUUGUUAGAAGGAGAAAACUCUUUUAAAUACUUCCUCUUUUCCUCUGCUGGUAAUCUGAAGAACUGAUGAGUUGCUUCCUUAACAUUCUCAAGUACUUCAAUGGGAACUCCAUGGUUAAUAAUCUGGAAGAAUCCCCAUUUCUCUGCAGCCUCACAGAUUGCUUCAGCAACUUUAGGGUCAUCCCAUUUUGACAUGUCAAUGAUGGGAAUGGAUUCAUGGGACAUGAUUUUGGUACCACACAUUCUUUCCUCAAGGGGUUGGAUAUAUUGCUUGGGGAGGCUUUCGAGGCCCAUCUCGGAGAGACCCUUUACUCCAUUGCCUUUGUUCAGGAAAAAAUCAGUGAUAUCUGAGGAGUCAUUGAAUGACACUGCAAGUGUUGGAGCCAUUGCUUGGACGCUUCUAGCUAGCUAAGACAACCAAGGUAGAAAAUGUAGUGUGUGCCAUCAGCUUCCAGGGCUUUGCUACUUAUACUGUACUGUUUAAGGAUGUCUCCAUGCCUUCUGCUACAUGUUCUUUCAGUUGAUAAAUUCCUCACCAACUCACCUAGCAACUUGCACGCCUUCUCACCUUUUCCUUCUCAAAGUUGACUUGAUGCUGCUCAAUCUUAAUUCCUUACAUGCAUGGUGCUAGUUUAGUUUGUCAAGUAUUUUUUGUACUCAAUCUCAUUAUUUAUGUUGGCUUAGGUCCCCUUUAAUGAAAUUAUUUUAUAGUGUUUAUGUUUGAUAUCGCAUAUGUUUUUACCUAUGUUUUAUCUAAAAAUAGUAUUUCGUUAAAGAAUAUAAUUUUGCUUUGAAUCAAAGCAGCUACAUUCUAGUUUUUUUUUUAUAUAAAAAAAAAAAACAAUUUAUUGUACUAUUUUCAACUCACAACUCUAUAUAAUAUAAUAAUUAAAACCUAACAUAGCAUAAUAAUAUCAAACAUAUUCAGUAAUGAUAUUGUGUAUUUUUUUAAAUUAAAAAUACACUAAAUAAUUAAUGGAUAUAAAUAAUAUUAAAAUAUUAAUUUGAUGUUAAUUUUUUCAUAUAAAAAAACAGUUUGAAAAAUAUUUUAAAAAAUAAAUUGAAAAACAAAAAUAAACACUACCUCAAAGAUUAAAAAAAAAAAAUUCAAUUAAUACCAAACAAACACACAACAGAUUAAAGAAAGUAUAAGUAAUUAAUCUCUUACCAAUGUUACUGCUAACCAAUAAGCUACCUAAAUCAAUCAAUUCAAAAAUCAAGGACUUGCGAUUUGCAUAUAUUCUUAGCCAAUAAACUUCUUGUUUUUUUUUCACUAGUUCAUGGCCUUACCAAUAAUUGAACAUUGAUACAAGAAAUCCCAUAAUCAAGAAAGGAUAGAGAACUUGAUGCAGAACGCUUGGCAGGGGAAUUUGAAGCACAAAUUGAUAGGUGCAUAGUGAAGACGAAAAGGUCAUAAGUACUGUACGCUAAGAUUUAAAUAGCAUUUAAUAGGUAUAAUUAAUCAUGCAUGUUACAAGUAGAAUAAAUAGACAACGUAAGCGUUGCUUUACAGGCACUUUGUAUUCCAAAUAUUCAAUACAAUUUUGAGACUUUCUUUCAUUUUCUGGUGGAUUCCAGAUAAACUUUUGAGGGUGAACGUGAGGAUCCCUCUGUUAUUUUUCUUGCUGCAUUAAUUGGUAUCAGAGCAGGUUUGCCUUGGCUCGAUGGCGAAUGACCCGAACAAUGAUCAACCCCUUCCUGGUGGGGAACCAGUUUCCAGGAGAGAGUUUGACGCUCUUGCUACGAGCAUUGAAGAGAUUCGGCAAUUGCUUCUCAACAUGGGAAACAACAACAACAACAACAACAAUGGACGAGAUAACCAAUGUGGUGGUGGCAGAGGCAACCGCGAUGGUCGUCGUCAACAGGAGGAGAUUGAAUCGAAUUCUGAGGAGGAGAUGGAACGUCCCGAGAAUGCAUUUGCUGCUAAUCUAAAUAAUCGACAAUCCAUUGAAGAUUAUCGGAUGAAGGCCGACAUCCCUUAUUUUAAUGGUCAUCUAUCCAUUGAAGGAUUUUUAGAUUGGCUUAUGGAGGUAGAGAGAUUUUUUGAGAUUAUGUCAGUACCAGAGGAGAGGAUGACUAAGAUAUCAGCUUUUCGCUUAAAGGGGAGUGCAGCUAUAUGGUGGGAUAAUUUGCAGAAGUCACGACAAAGGCAGGCUAAACAACCGGUCAGGAUAUGGCGUAGGAUGAAACAAUUGAUGAUGGACCGUUUCCUUCCAGUAGAUUAUGAGCAGCAUCUUUAUCGCCUCUACCAUAAUUGUACCCAGGGAAGCAGGGCAGUAGAGGAUUAUACUGACGAGUUCCUACGGUUGGCAGAGAGAAAUUAGUUGAAUGAGACUCAGGGGCAGACGAUAUCAAGAUAUGUCAAUGGAUUGACGAUGUCAAUACAUGAUAGAAUCGGGUUACAAGUUUUCUGGGACAUCCAUGAGGCUCAAAAUAUGGCUAUGAAGGCACAACAGUUAGAGAAAGAACUGAAGGAACGUGAACAAAAGGAGAAAAAAACGAACUAUGGCAACAAAAAUAAUUACCCGAGGAAGGCAGCAGAUUCUUAUGUUCCUAACAAGGAGAAGAAAGAAGUCCAGCCGAUCCAAAGAAAUAAUUAUAAAGGGCAGAAUUACAGAGGAGAGAGUAGCCAGAAUAAUGACAUAAAUCAAAAUCGAAAUCAGAGACCAAACCAUGGCCCAUACGCUAGAGCAACUAGUGAUGUCUGCUAUAGGUGUUUCCAGCCUGGCCACCGAUCCAAUAACUAUCUAAAGCAAAAGCAAGCGAACCUUGUAGAAGGAACCGAAGAAGCUGAUGAUCAUAGUGGAAAUUAUGAUGAUGAUUAUGAUGGGGCUGAGUUUGCAUAUGAAGAUAAUAAUGAGGUUGUAAAUUUGAUGGUAAAUCAUACUGCUAUUGAAGAAGACGAAGUGCUCAGCAUGAUGCUAUAACGAGCUCUCCUUUCGCUUAAACAAGAAGGACAAAGGAAUCACAUAUUUUGUUCCUUAUGUUCUGUUGACAACAAGGUGUGCACAUUGAUUGUAGAUGGUGGCAGCUGUGAGAAUUUUGUGUCACAAAAGCUGGUUGAUUAUUUAAAACUUCCAACAGAGAAGCAUAAGAAUCCUUAUAUGUUAGGGUGGGUGAAGAGAGGACCAUCAGUAAAGGUGACAGAAGCAUGUGGGGUUCCUCUUUCUAUUGGUAAGCAUUACAAACAUGAGAUUUGGUGCGAUGUAAUUGAUAUGGAUGCCAGCAUGUAUUACUAGGAAGGCCUUGGCAGUUUGAUGUUGAUGCUACCUACAAAGGGCAUGAUAAUGUGUUUAUCUUUGAGUGGGGUUCUUAUAAAAUUGCACUUGCUCCUGUUGAUCAGUCUGGAAAAUUAGAAAAACCACAAGCUGGGAGUUCAAAUUUUCUAGCUAUCUCCAGGAAUAGCCACGAGUUUGAAGACAUUAUUAAAGAAGUUGGAUUCAUGUAUCCAAUUGUUCUUAAGGGGCUUAUGGUGACAAAUGCUGUUUCAAGUCACAUUCCAAAAAAAGUGCAAGAAAUUUUGAGCGAGUAUGAAGAUCUGGUUUCUGAAGAUUUACCAGCACAACUUCCUUCUAUACGAGAUAUUCAACAUCAGAUUGAUUUAGUCCCUUGAGCAAGCCUACCUAAUCUUCCCCAUUAUCGAAUGAGCCCAAAGGAAAAUGUGAUCUUGAAGGAGAAGAUCGAAGAGCUGCUGAAAAAAGGAUUUAUUCGUGAGAGCAUGAGUCCUUGUGCAGUUCCUGUCUUGCUAGUGCAAAAAAAGGAUAACACUUGGCGUAUUUGUGUUGACAGUAGAGCCAUUAAUAAAAUCACCAUCAAAUAUAGAUUUCCAAUUUCGCGGUUGGAGGAUAUGUUGGAUGUCCUUGAGGGUUCCGAGGUAUUUUUGAAAAUUGAUUUGCGCAGUGGCUAUCACCAGAUUCGAAUUAAACUAGGAGACGAAUGGAAGACGACAUUUAAGAGCAAGGAGGGUCUGUAUGAAUGGCUGGUGAUGCCAUUCGGAUUAUUAAAUGCACCAAGUACUUUCAUGCGACUCAUGAACCAACGAAGAUGGAAUUUAUGUGGAUCAGGACAAAGUACGUGCUAUCAGAGAAUGGCCAGCUCCCAAGACUGUAAGUGAGUUACGUAGUUUCCAUGGCCUUGCUACUUUUUACAGGCGUUUUGUACGAAACUUUAGUACCCUUGCAGCCCCUAUUAUUGAAUGUCUCAAGCAGGGGAAGUUUCAUUGGGAUGAAGCUCUUUAUUCUGAAGAUAACUCAGAGGCGAGUUCUUUCAAAAUGGAGGAGUCUGAUGCAGAACACUUGGCAGGGGAAUUUGAAGCACAAAUUGAUAGGUGCAUAAUGAAGACGAAAAGGUCAUGAGUAUCGUAUGCUAAGAUUUAAAUAGCAUUCAAUAGGUAUAAUUAAUCAUGCAUGUUACAAGUAGAAUAAAUAGACAACGUAAGCGUUGCCUUACAUGCACUUUGCAUUCCAAAUAUUCAAUACAGUUUUGAGACUUUCUCUCAUUUUCUAGUGGAUUCUAGAUGAACUUUUGAGAGUGAACGUGAGGAUCCCUCUGUUAAUUUUCUUGUUGCGUCAGAACUGUAUGAACAAAUCAAAGUACGUAAUUGCAUAAUUAAGAUCCCCCAUAACCAAAAAAAAAGAAAAAGAAAAUAAAAUUGUAUGAACAAAUCAAAUUAAGUCAUUGCUUUGAGAUAUUCCUGCAUUGAUGUGCAUUCUUCUUAGCACACAUGAUUAUUUUAAUAUGGUCACACCACGUACCUUAACUAGUUAAUAUUUUACCAUGCAAAUAUUAUAAUCAACAUUCUCUAUUACAGCUAUUUUAGAAUAUUGCUUAUAUACCAGUAAAAAUAAUUCUAAAUAAAACUGAAAAAAUAAAAAAAAAAGUUAUAAAAUGAAUAGAAAAAAAUAUAUAUUAUAAAUUAAUUAUGAAAAUAUAACAAAUCUAGAUCAGUAACUUAUAGGCCUUGGUUGAAGAUCUCCACGAACUCUAAUUAUUAUGAUAUUUUAAUAUUAAAAGAAACAUGAUCUAUAUAUUUUUCUAGUAAAAUUCCAGUUCAAUAUAAUAGUUAGAUCAAAAUUUAUGUUCAUUAAUAUAAAAAUAUAAUUUAGAAAAAAAAAUCUCCGUUACUAAAAUUGUGAAAAUGGGUAUGUGUGUGUGUGUCAAGUAUUGAAAAAACAUGAAAGCAUUUGUAACUACUUGAAAUAAAAGAAAAGAAGAAGAAAGACAUCUGAGGUGUUGAAACUUGAAAUGGAAGUUGCUAUGUAUAAAUGUUAUCCAUCUCUUUGAAAUGUUUUAGACUUCAAACUAUAAAAUCUAAUUCGAUCAUUUGAUCAUAAUACAUAAAUUCACAUAAUACAAUAGUAGUUCUAAACGUUUCAAAUUUUAUUGAUGUUCAUCAAUAUUUUUAUCAAAUUUUAUUCAAUUCGAGGGCAUUUUAGUUCACAUAAAUAUGUUUUGAACUUAAUUGAUAAGAUUUAUAGGUUUGGAACGCAAUCAAGGAUGAAUAUAUAUAUAUAUAUAUAUAUAUAUAAAUUGGAUUAGAUGUGUCCUUGAACCAACUUACAUAUCAACUGAUACUGGAUUUAUUUUUCAUGUAACUUUAAGAUUGCAUUGAUCUAAUACAUUUUAAAAAAUAAAAAUCCUCUCGAUAAUAUUGGGUUUCAAUUAAGUUCAAAUUCUCAUCAGAUCAACAUGUUAAGUCACUAAAUUACUCUUGCUUGUAUUUGACAGGUAUAAAGCUUGCUCUGGUAUUCAGAUAUUCAAGAAAAAACCUAGAAUUAAGACAGUUUUUACAGUGACUUGUUAUCACUCCAAGCCUUGUCAUAAAAUAGUCCAAAACUGCAAGUGGCAAACAAAUUGUUCAUCCUAAACAUUGCAUAGACAUAGGUUUAAAGGCUUUGUAAAUUGUCUUGAAUUCCAAGAUAAGCCAUCAUUUAGAGAGAUGGAAAAAAGAAUUUAUUUUCUUUCACUUGCGAAAACUAGAAUAUUCGAGGCAUCUAAACCUCAUAAUUAAAGACUCCAGUCUUCUACCUAAACUAAUUAAUUUAGGUAUCGAAGAAUUCCCAACCCUUCUAAAUAACUUGUUCGAACUGUUCGAACCAAAUCGUUUCCGCCUUUCAACCACCUAUCAUAUAUAGUCUUACCAUAUUACUUUCUAAUAAGCUUUUAGCAGCCUCGUAAAAUGGUCAAGUAUGGCUCCAAAACAUAUUGUUCAGUUGAAAAAGAGUAGAGAAGGAUAACUGGAUAAAAAAAGAUCCAAGACUUAAAGAACAGAAAGAAACUAGAUACCAAGGAUAUUGUACCCAAACAAGAAAACUAUGCUUUUUCACCGAGCAAUGGAGUCAAGUCAUUUCUUCUUAUCCUUGUUCUCUCGUCACCAUAUAUAAUUGUGAUUCUCGAUUCAGAAAGCGCGCUCUAGCAACUAGAAGAAAAUGAUAAAACAGAUAAACAAACCAAGAAAAAGUUGUGAAUCUCCUUCCUUGAUACGUUAUUGGGUUGAGAUUAUUAAUUUUUCUUGAAAGUGUUUGAUUGGUGCCGUCUGCCGAAAUCUAAAUAAGAAAAAAAGAAGAUAGAUUGAAUUGAACUAUGGACUAGAUGGUGAACAAUAAUUAAAUAAAAAAUAGAAGCAAUCAAUUGAUUGACCUUAAACUAUAUAAUGAUGAUAAGUUUGAGAUGGUAUGCAUAUGAUUGAAUCAAUUAGGACAAUUUAAUCUCAGUUUAAUUUGAGAAUAUAUAUAGUUUAAUAGUCAAGUAAAAAGAAAGCAAUGAAUUUGAAGAACAUUGGAUGUUUAUUUUCCAAUUAACAAAAAAUAACCAAGGCCUAUAAUUAACCUGUAUCUGAUUCAAUGUGCUAAUCUUUUCUUCAAUCCUAAUUAUUGAUCCACCUAAGAAAUUAGGAAGCAGAUUAGAAGUGGCAUGUUACAGUUGCCUCCCUCUUGCCAUAAAUUGAGAGUUUUGAGGGACCAAAUGAAGCAUGAGCUAUCAGUUCGGAGUAAAAUUUAGUUGAAGCAUCUUCAAAAUCUCUUAUACAUCAGUCUAUCAACCAAAACCCUGUUUUGUAAUAAUGAAAAAGAGAUGCUAGGUAGCCAUUUUAAUCCCAUUGUUCUCAAAUGGUGGAUAGAUGGGAUCAAUUGAGGCAUGCAUUAAUUCUUGUAAUUCCGGCAAUGUCAUUGCUUGUUGUCAAAUAGAUGUAGCUGAGAUGCUUGUGGUUUUGCUUAAAGGACUGGUGUAAAAU